CAGUACCUUGGGUGAGGAAGAAGGGAGUGACAAGCUCCCCUGGUCCCUUCCCCCUCACAGCCACUGCCUGUGCCUUUAAGAACUGCCACCCAGUGCCAGAAUCUUAACCUCAGCACCCUCAGCUGAGUUGGAUUAAGGGACUAUUUCGUGCUUUUAUGAAUUCUUUCUGGCUGCUACCCUUCCUCCACACAGAAACAGAGUGGCAAGGAGCCCCAACAGGUCUGCAGAGGGUAGGCCUUUCCCUUCGGGAGUAGCUCCUUUGUGACCAGGGAGUGGGCCCUUGGGGGUCUUGGACUGUCACUGAAACUCCAGAGAGCCAUGCAGAGCCCUUGGCCAUGAAGAACUCAGAUGUAAUCCUCUGCACAGAGGUGACAGAAUUGAGCAAGACUGAGUUCUGCAAUCCUGCUUUCGAGCCCGAAGCAGGACCACCUUGUUCUCCUGCAGCCUUCCAGAAAGAUGCUUGCAGCGUCCGAGCUGCCUGGCACGGCCGGCGUCCCCAAAGGAUGCAGCUGGACUGCCACUUCUCUUGGCUCUGCGUCUUCCUGCUCAUCCUUCUGGUGCUCUUGCUGCUCGGGUUGCUGGUGGCCAUCGUCCUGGUCCAGAUGCAGGCUGUACCCCCAUCUGGGGCCACCGAGAGCCCACGGCCCAUCAUCGGCACCACCCCUACCAGAACCACCACCACCUCCCCAGCAACUACACAGCAGCAGGAGGCAGGCAUGAGCCCCCCACACCAGGCCUUCUGUGGGGGCCUCCUUCCUGGCCCAAGAGGCUUCUUCAGCAGCCCCAACUACCCAGACCCUUACCCACCCAACACCCACUGUGUGUGGCAUAUCCAGGUGGCCACAGACCACACAAUACAGCUCAAGAUUGAAGCUCUCAGCAUGGAAAGUGUGGCCUCCUGUCUUUUUGAUCGCUUGGAGAUCUCCCCAGAACCUGAUGGCCCCCUCCUCAGGGUCUGUGGGAGGGUACCUCCUCCCACGCUCAACACCAAUGCCAGCCACCUCCGGGUGGCCUUCGUCUCUGACAGCAGUGUAGAAGCAUCUGGUUUCCAAGCCUGGUACCAGGCUGUAGCCCUUGGGCAUGGGAGUUGUGCCCAGGAUGAGUUCUCCUGUGACCAGCUCAUCUGUCUGCUACCUGAAUCAGUGUGUGAUGGUUUUGCCAACUGUGCAGAUGGUAGUGACGAAGCCAACUGCAGUUCCAAGCUCUCUGGGUGUGGGGGGAACCUGACUGGGCUCCAGGGCACCUUUUCUACUCCUAACCACCUGCAGCAGUACCCUCAGCAACAGCUUUGUACCUGGCAUAUCUCAGUGCCUGCGGGACAUGGCAUAGAACUACAGUUCCUCAACUUAAGCCUGGAUGCACAGGAUGGGUGCAAGUUUGACUACGUGGAGGUGUAUGAGGCCAGCAGUUCAGGAGCCCUCAGCCUCCUGGGCAGGUUCUGUGGAGCAGAGCCACCCUCCUGCCUCGUCUCCUCAAGCCAGGAACUGGCUGUGUUCUUCAGGACAGAACAUGGCUUCAGCAAUGGGGGCUUCUCAGCCAGCUACCGGGCAUUGAAUGCCACAGAGAGUGAGGAGCCUGCCCCUGACAACCCGAACAAGGCCCACGGGCCCAGGCAAACUGAAUGUCCAACUCACAGAAACCCUGCCAAGCACACUGCCCAACAUCCCCUGCCCUCCUCCCUGAUUGGUCCAGGGAGCCAGCUGGACCUCACUUCUGACUCGGGGCCACUUCACAGAGUCCUAGAGAGACUUUCAGCUGGAGGGGCAGUGGUAAUUAGUGUCACCUCAGAGUGACAUGGGACUCUGGGAAUCAAUGAUUGGGGCUUCUUACAUACAGAGUCUCUCCACACCUCACUUCAGAGAGGAAGGUGAGAUUUUUUUACCUGAAAAAAGAAAAAGAUUCUUCCAGAACUUUCCCUGCAUAUGUGGGUGCUUCAUGUUCCCUGAAAUCAAAGAGGUUCCUUCAUGACCCCCAGGGCUGGCGAAUGAUGCUUGGAGCAGGCUCAUGAGGAUGCAGCAGGUGUAUACUGCAUCUCUCCUUGCUAUCUCCUCGGGUUCUCACAACCACUCUUGUCUGACCCAGUGACAGCAAGAGCCUAGAGCACUGAAGUGGCUCAUCCCCACAGUGAUCCUCCUCUCCCAUCCCUGCAGUGCUGGUCUGUGAACCCAUCCAGGUAGAGAUGUGUACGGGUCUGAGCUACAACACCACAGCCUUCCCGAAUAUCUGGGUGGGCAUGGCCACCCAGGAUGAAGUGAUCGAUAUCCUCAGAGGCUACAAGAGCCUGACAAGUCUUC